GCGCCAGUAGCUCAGUUGGAUAGAGCAACGGCCUUCUAAGCCGUGGGUCGGGGGUUCGAAUCCCUCCUGGCGUGCCA
rnacentral:tRNA from 1 species